rnacentral:rRNA from 1 species
UACGGGGGGGGCAAGCGUUUGUUCGGAAUUACUGGGCGUAAAGGGCUCGUAGGCGGCCAACUAAGUCAGACGUGAAAUCCCUCGGCUUAACCGGGGAACUGCGUCUGAUACUGGAUGGCUUGAGUUCGGGAGAGGGAUGUGGAAUUCCAGGUGUAGCGGUGAAAUGCGUAGAUAUCAGGAGGAACACCGGUGGUGUAGACGGCUUUCUGGACCGUAACUGACGCUGAGACACGAAAGCGUGGGGAGCAAACAGG